AUGUUAGUGACCAUCGGCGGGACUAGAGGAAAAGAGCAUUAUAUUGGAGUUAUAAAGCGGCGGUUAUGAUUAUUCCUUUAAUAACUUUGAAGUGAGACAAGCAAGUUUGUUAAACCGACUUUGAUCUCUGAAAUAUAACACAAACACACUUUGUUGUUGGAAUUUCAAUUUAUAUUUACACCGAAUCUUUAUCAAUUGUGGACGUAUAUAUUCAUACUAUGGAGCCUGAUUUUGGAUUUUAUUUACAUCGAUGAAUUGUCGUUAAAAGAGAAAAAAG
rnacentral:misc_RNA from 1 species